AAUGGUGCGAGCAUGUCGAGCCUAUGCGCCCAGGGAAUCUCGUGUACAUCUGUGAUCCGGCCAUCCCUCGUCGAGAAUGGAGGAAAGGCGUCGUGGAGGAAGUGUACCCAGGAGCGGAUGGAGUACCACGACGAGCGGCGGUACGCACUACCAAUGGCGAUCAAGCUAAGUUAAUCAUGCGUCCCAUCUCCAGAUUGGCUAUCCUGGAUGUGGUGAAUGCAGUUGCUUCACCGGGGUGGGGAUGUCGUGGAACGGAUUAACAUAUCGCUCAAGGUUUAGUAAAUUUAAAUGUAGCGCCAAGUAUUUCAGUAUUUGUUAUCGAUGUUGUAAAUCGUUAGAGAGAUUAUAUUGUAAAGCUAAAUGCGGUCACACGAAAUGGUGAAUUGUAAGCCAGAAUCUCCCGCUCAGAUUUAUUCCGAUUGGAGAGAUCAAAGAGACUGGGAGGCGAGACUGCGAAUAAAACAUCGUCGUUUGUUUAUGCUAUUGUUCUACGCUACAAGACUGGCUUUCUUGUUUCGGUGUUGGCUAAGCAACGUUAAAGGCAACUCCCAGGGGAUCUCUUUCGGUCGGCGUCAAGUGCCUUAUACUAUCCUUAAACUAUUUAGGAAGGACGUUUUAAUAAAAUGAAUAAUUAUUUUCAAACGUGAACUAUUCUAAACUAGCCUAUUUUAGAGCUGCUUAUAGUGUAUCAUUUAAGAACUAUUUGCAAUCUUAAUGUAAGGUUUACCAAAUGGUUAUAGCCACUAACUAACUUGGUUAUGAUCUAAAACAAUGUGUUCGUGGCAUCUAAACAUCGACAAGCCCUAUUGAAAUAAACUUUAAAUACCUGCAAA